rnacentral:tRNA from 1 species
GGAUGUAGCUUAGUCCGGUUUAAAGUGCUGGUCUGGGGGACCAGAGAUCGGAGGUUCGAAUCCUCUCAUCC